CUUGAAUAACUAUAAGAGGUCCAGCCUGCCCAGUGACUUUGUUCAACGGCCGCGGUAUCCUAACCGUGCGAAGGUAGCGUAAUCAAUUGUCUUUUAAAUAGGGACUUGUAUGAAUGGCAUCACGAGGGUUAUACUGUCUCCUUUUUCUAAUCAGUGAAACUAAUCUUCCCGUGAAGAAGCGGGAAUAAACAUAUAAGACGAGAAGACCCUAUGGAGCUUUAAACUCAAUAACAAAUACUAACCUUACAUCAACUUUCAGAAGAUUCACCUUAAUUUUAGUAUUAUGAUUAUUAGUUUUAGGUUGGGGUGACCGCGGAGUAAAAAUUAACCUCCACAUUGAACGGGACCUGUCCCUGAGCCAAGAACUACAGCUCAAAGCACCAACAAAUUGACAUUAAUUGACCCAAUAUUUUGAUCAACGAAC
rnacentral:rRNA from 2 species